UGCUCAUACAUAGCAGCUAGCCAGUUCAUGCCGGUGGCUGGUGAAGACUAAUUUUAGCGAGAAACCCAGACUGUGUUUUACAUUCUAACAAGCGAUGUUAGUAUGCUUAAACGAUAUCCGUUUUCUCAAAGAGGGCAAUGUUUGCUAACCUGGUCAUUCAAACCUACUGCUAAUGUAAAUAUUCACCUUACCCAAACACCGAUCAUUCUUGUGACGGUGCGUCAGAAUAAAAUUCCCGAAUGGAAACUGGAGCUAGAGUUUAGAGUUCUGGUUGUGAAACACGGAACAAAGAAAUCUGAGAAUGAAAAUCCAGAGUGGUGAGGAAUCAAGUGGUAGAAGACUUCACUGACCUCUUAAUAUAACCUCUAUGACUCAAUACUGCUGCAUCUCCUCUCCUGCUCCAGCAGAUGUGGAUCCCCAUGGUGACAGGAGAAGAACACCAGAGACACUGCAGAUGGAUGAGUUACACAUCACAAAGAGGAGGAGACAGAAUGACAGAGUAUGUGUUAGUGUUGCUAUGUGUGUGUGUGGUGUGUGCAUGUGAAUGUGCGUUUGUAAAAGCAGGUGUGAGAGCACACAUACAGCGUGUGCAUGACUCCAUGUAGACAAAUGUAUAUAUCUGGGCCUGUAGUUUCCUAAUAGAUGGGUGUCAGGAGGAGAGACAGACAGACAAAGAAAAAAAGAAAGCUCUCAAUUCAAUAUUUCUUCAUUUUGCCAUGUCUCCUGAUCAAAAAUAUACGUGCAGCAAUUUCAACGAUUUGACUGAGUUACGGUUCAUAUAAGGAAAUCUGUCAAUUGAAAUAAAUAAAUUAGGCCCUAAACUAUGGAUUUCACAUGACUGGGCAGGGGUGCAGCCAUGGGUGGGCCUGGGAGGGCAUAGGCCCACCCACUUGGGAGAAAGGCCCACUCACUGGAGGGCCAGGCCCAGCCAAUCAGAAUGGGUUUUUCCCCACAAAAGGGCUUUAUUACAGACAGAAUACUCCACAAUUUCAUCAGCUGUCUGGGUGGCUGGUCUCAGAUGAUCCCACAGGUGAAGAAGCCGGAUCUGGAGGUCCUGGGCUGGCGUGGUUACACUUGGUCUGGGGUUGUGAGGCCGGUUGCACGUACUGGCAAAUUCUCUAAAAUGAUGUUGAUAGAGAAAUGAACAUUAAAAUUAACAUUCAAUUAUCUGGCAACAGCUCUGGUGGACAUUCCUGCAGUCAGCAUGCCAAUUGCACACUCCCUCAAAACAUGAGACAUCUGUGGCUUUGUGUUGUGUGACAAAACUUCACAUUUUAGAGUGGCCUUUUAUUGUCCCCAGCACAAGGAGCACCUGUGUAAUGAUCAUGCAAUUUAAUUUUCUUAAUAUGCCACACCUGUCAGGUGGAUGGAUUAUCUUGGCAAAGGAGAAACCCUCACUAACAGGGAUGUAAACAAAUUUGUGCUCAAACUUUGAGAGAAAUAAGCUUUUUGUGCAUAUGCAAAAUGUCUGGGAACAAAUUCAAGCAACACUUUACUUGUUGCGUUUAUAUUUUGUGUUCAGUAAUAGUACGGUAGGUCUCAACACCUAAUAGCGAUACUAGUGUCUAUGUGAGAGGAAAAUGGAAAACGUUACCGAGUAUUGGUCGUCAUGGAAACCAAAUUGUCGUAACGCCGUAUGGCUGCUGAAUGGUGAAUUAUGAGAUGUUGGGGAGAUGUUGAGGGUGAGCCCAUGGAAGGUCAUGGACUUGCAGUAGUUUGUACAGCCCUGAAGGUGGCGUGGUAUUGUAUGAUAGGUACUAUACAUUACCAAGCAGAUUAUGCUGUCAUAUUUAGUCACAACACAUAAGCCAACAAAUACUCUUUUCGAUACUUUACUCUUUCUAUUCACCCCUUUCCCUUUUCAUUUGUACACAGCAUGUGAGGAUAUCGUAAUGGUUGUAAACCAUAUGGUUUGAAAACGCAACAAUACCAUAGAUUAUCAUCAUCACUUUUGAGCCAGCGUGAGUGGCACAGAAAUUAGACAGGCAUGUCGUUAUGUGGGUUUUAUCUGAGCACACAGUCAAAUGGAGAGUGAAGGGGCAUCAUUCUCACUGGGGCUUAAUGUGUUUGGACUCACAGGGCUAAGAGUAAUGACAGCUUCGCCAGACAACAGAAUCCUCCCGCCGUGCCACGCCUGCUAAAACAGCCCCGUCACAUCGUAUCCUAGCAGCACCCAGGGCAAAUAGACACUACUCUGUCAGAGGAGGAAUUCAUACCCACAAAGCACUGCUGCCAGACCCCCUCUCUUCCAGUCUCCCCCAUCGCGCACAAUCAUCUUUAGGUGUCACCAUGUCCACACACCCACUCAGGACCAGAGAGGCAGACAGGGGCU
ensembl:lncRNA